rnacentral:rRNA from 1 species
GAUGAACGCUGGCGGCGUGCCUAAUACAUGCAAGUCGAGCGAACGGACGAGAAGCUUGCUUCUCUGAUGUUAGCGGCGGACGGGUGAGUAACACGUGGAUAACCUACCUAUAAGACUGGGAUAACUUCGGGAAACCGGAGCUAAUACCGGAUGAUAUUUUGAACCGCAUGGUUCAAAGGUGAAAGACGGUCUUGCUGUCACUUAUAGAUGGAUCCGCGCUGCAUUAGCUAGUUGGUAAGGUAACGGCUUACCAAGGCAACGAUGCAUAGCCGACCUGAGAGGGUGAUCGGCCACACUGGAACUGAGACACGGUCCAGACUCCUACGGGAGGCAGCAGUAGGGAAUCUUCCGCAAUGGGCGAAAGCCUGACGGAGCAACGCCGCGUGAGUGAUGAAGGUCUUCGGAUCGUAAAGCUCUGUUAUUAGGGAAGAACAUAUGUGUAAGUAACUGUGCACAUCUUGACGGUACCUAAUCAGAAAGCCACGGCUAACUACGUG